AUGAACGCUAGCUACAGGCUUAACACAUGCAAGUCGAGGGGCAGCAUGGUCUUAGCUUGCUAAGACUGAUGGCGACCGGCGCACGGGUGAGUAACACGUAUCCAACCUGCCGUCUACUCUUGGACAGCCUUCUGAAAGGAAGAUUAAUACAAGAUGGCAUCAUGAGUCCGCAUGUUCACAUGAUUAAAGGUAUUCCGGUAGACGAUGGGGAUGCGUUCCAUUAGAUAGUAGGCGGGGUAACGGCCCACCUAGUCUUCGAUGGAUAGGGGUUCUGAGAGGAAGGUCCCCCACAUUGGAACUGAGACACGGUCCAAACUCCUACGGGAGGCAGCAGUGAGGAAUAUUGGUCAAUGGGCGAGAGCCUGAACCAGCCAAGUAGCGUGAAGGAUGACUGCCCUAUGGGUUGUAAACUUCUUUUAUAAAGGAAUAAAGUCGGGUAUGGAUACCCGUUUGCAUGUACUUUAUGAAUAAGGAUCGGCUAACUCCGUGCCAGCAGCCGCGGUAAUACGGAGGAUCCGAGCGUUAUCCGGAUUUAUUGGGUUUAAAGGGAGCGUAGAUGGAUGUUUAAGUCAGUUGUGAAAGUUUGCGGCUCAACCGUAAAAUUGCAGUUGAUACUGGAUAUCUUGAGUGCAGUUGAGGCAGGCGGAAUUCGUGGUGUAGCGGUGAAAUGCUUAGAUAUCACGAAGAACUCCGAUUGCGAAGGCAGCCUGCUAAGCUGCAACUGACAUUGAGGCUCGAAAGUGUGGGUAUCAAACAGGAUUAGAUACCCUGGUAGUCCACACGGUAAACGAUGAAUACUCGCUGUUUGCGAUAUACUGCAAGCGGCCAAGCGAAAGCGUUAAGUAUUCCACCUGGGGAGUACGUUCGCAAGAAUGAAACUCAAAGGAAUUGACGGGGACCCGCACAAGCGGUGGAGCAUGUGGUUUAAUUCGAAGCAACGCGAAGAACCUUACCAAGUCUUGACAUCCUUCUGACCGGUACUUAACCGUACCUUCUCUUCGGAGCAGGAGUGACAGGUGGUGCAUGGUUGUCGUCAGCUCGUGCCGUGAGGUGUCGGCUUAAGUGCCAUAACGAGCGCAACCCUUGUUGUCAGUUACUAACAGGUUCCGCUGAGGACUCUGACAAGACUGCCAUCGUAAGAUGUGAGGAAGGUGGGGAUGACGUCAAAUCAGCACGGCCCUUACGUCCGGGGCUACACACGUGUUACAAUGGGGGGUACAGAGGGCCGCUACCACGCGAGUGGAUGCCAAUCCCCAAAACCUCUCUCAGUUCGGACUGGAGUCUGCAACCCGACUCCACGAAGCUGGAUUCGCUAGUAAUCGCGCAUCAGCCACGGCGCGGUGAAUACGUUCCCGGGCCUUGUACACACCGCCCGUCAAGCCAUGGGAGCCGGGGGUACCUGAAGUGCGUAACCGCGAGGAGCGCCCUAGGGUAAAACUGGUGACUGGGGCU
rnacentral:rRNA from 1 species